UACGGCGGGGGCGAGCGUUCUUCGGAAUUAUUGGGCGUACAGGGCGCGUAGGCGGCCCGGUAAGUCAAAGGUGAAAUCCCUCGGCUCAACUGAGGAACUGCCUUUGAAACUGUCGGGCUUGAGGCCGGGAGGGGGUAGCGGAAUUCCCAGUAUAGCGGUGAAAUGCGUAGAUACUGGGAGGAACACCAGUGGCGAAGGCGGCUACCUGGACCGGUUCUGACGCUGAGGCGCGAAAGCGUGGGUAGCAAACAGG
rnacentral:rRNA from 1 species